rnacentral:rRNA from 1 species
AUUGAACGCUGGCGGAAUGCUUUACACAUGCAAGUCGAACGGCAGCACGGACUUCGGUCUGGUGGCGAGUGGCGAACGGGUGAGUAAUACAUCGGAACGUGCCCAGUCGUGGGGGAUAACGUAGCGAAAGCUACGCUAAUACCGCAUACGAUCUAAGGAUGAAAGCGGGGGAUCGCAAGACCUCGCGCGAUUGGAGCAGCCGAUGGCAGAUUAGGUAGUUGGUAGGGUAAAGGCCUACCAAGCCGACGAUCUGUAGCUGGUCUGAGAGGAUGAUCAGCCACACUGGGACUGAGACACGGCCCAGACUCCUACGGGAGGCAGCAGUGGGGAAUUUUGGACAAUGGGCGCAAGCCUGAUCCAGCCAUUCCGCGUGCAGGAUGAAGGCCUUCGGGUUGUAAACUGCUUUUGUACAGAACGAAAAGGCUCUGGUUAAUACCCGGGGCUCAUGACGGUACUGUAAGAAUAAGCACCGGCUAACUACGUGCCAGCCGCCGCAUAA